rnacentral:rRNA from 1 species
UACGGGGGGGGCAAGCGUUGUUCGGAAUUACUGGGCGUAAAGCGCACGUAGGCGGAUCGAUCAGUCAGGGGUGAAAUCCCAGAGCUCAACUCUGGAACUGCCUUUGAUACUGUCGAUCUGGAGUAUGGAAGAGGUGAGUGGAAUUCCGAGUGUAGAGGUGAAAUUCGUAGAUAUUCGGAGGAACACCAGCGGCGAAGGCGGCUCACUGGUCCAUUACUGACGCUGAGGUGCGAAAGCGUGGGGAGCAAACAGG